rnacentral:lncRNA from 1 species
GGGGGAGGUGAGCGCCGACGAGGAGGGCUUUGAGAACCUGUGGGCCACCGCCUCCACCUUCAUCGUCCUCUUCCUCCUGAGCCUCUUCUACAGUACCACCGUCACCUUGUUCAAGGUGAAAUGAUCCCAACAGAAGAACAUCGGAGACCAGAGAGAGGAACUCAAAGGGGCGCUGCCUCCGGGUCUGGGGUCCUGGCCUGCGUGGCCUGUUGGCACGUGUUUCUCUUCCCCGCCCGGCCUCCAGUUGUGUGCUCUCACACAGGCUUCCUUCUCGACCGGCAGGGGCUGGCUGGCUUGCAGGCCACGAGGUGGGCUCUACCCCACACUGCUUUGCUGUGUAUACGCUUGUUGCCCUG